rnacentral:rRNA from 1 species
AGAGGUUGAUNCUGGCUCAGGACGAACGCUGGCGGCGUGCUUAACACAUGCAAGUCGAACGGGUCCGUAGCAAUACAGAUCUAGUGGCGAACGGGUGCGUAACACGUGAGGAACUUGUCCCGGUCUCUGGGAUAACAGUUGGAAACGACUGCUAAUACCGGAUGACGUCGGAGCGUCGCAUGGCGCGCUGACGAAAGGGUUACCGGAUCGGGAGAGCCUCGCGGCCUAUCAGCUAGUUGGUGGGGUAAUGGCCUACCAAGGCAUCGACGGGUAGCUGGUCUGAGAGGAUGAUCAGCCACACUGGGACUGAGACACGGCCCAGACUCCUACGGGAGGCAGCAGUGGGGAAUCUUGCGCAAUGGGCGAAAGCCUGACGCAGCAACGCCGCGUGCGGGAAGAAGGCUCUCGGGUUGUAAACCGCUUUCAGCAGGAACGAAAAUGACGGUACCUGCAGAAGAAGGUGCGGCCAACUACGUGCCAGCAGCCGCGGUGACACGUAGGCACCAAGCGUUGUCCGGAUUUAUUGGGCGUAAAGAGCUCGUAGGCGGUUCGGUAAGUCAGGUGUGAAAACUUUGGGCUUAACCCAAAGCGUCAUCUGAUACUGCCGGACUAGAGUUCGGUAGGGGAGUGGGGAAUUCCUAGUGUAGCGGUGAAAUGCGCAGAUAUUAGGAGGAACACCGGUGGCGAAGGCGCCACUCUGGGCCGAAACUGACGCUGAGGAGCGAAAGCGUGGGUAGCAAACAGGAUUAGAUACCCUGGUAGUCCACGCCGUAAACGUUGGGCACUAGGUGUGGGUUUCACCAAGAAUCCGCGCCGUCGCUAACGCAUUAAGUGCCCCGCCUGGGGAGUACGGCCGCAAGGUUAAA